rnacentral:rRNA from 1 species
AUUGAACGCUGGCGGCAGGCUUAACACAUGCAAGUCGAGCGGAGAUGAGGUGCUUGCACCUUAUCUUAGCGGCGGACGGGUGAGUAAUGCUUAGGAAUCUGCCUAUUAGUGGGGGACAACAUUCCGAAAGGAAUGCUAAUACCGCAUACGUCCUACGGGAGAAAGCAGGGGAUCUUCGGACCUUGCGCUAAUAGAUGAGCCUAAGUCGGCUUAGCUAGUUGGUGGGGUAAAGGCCUACCAAGGCGACGAUCUGUAGCGGGUCUGAGAGGAUGAUCCACCACACUGGGACAGUGACACGGCCCAGACUCCUACGGGAGGCAGCAGGGGGGAAUAUUGGACAAAGGGGGGAGCCCUGAUCCAGCCAUGCCGCGUGUGUGAAGAAGGCCUUAUGGUUGUAAAGCACUUUAAGCGAGGAGGAGGCUACUGAGACUAAUACUCUUGGAUAGUGGACGUUACUCGCAGAAUAAGCACCGGCUAACUCUGUGCCAGCCGCCGCCGUAACAC